rnacentral:rRNA from 1 species
CAGUAGCCGCGGUAAUACGAAGGGUGCAAGCGUUAAUCGGAAUUACUGGGCGUAAAGCGUGCGUAGGCGGCUUCUUAAGUCGGAUGUGAAAUCCCUGAGCUUAACUUAGGAAUUGCAUUCGAUACUGGGAAGCUAGAGUAUGGGAGAGGAUGGUAGAAUUCCAGGUGUAGCGGUGAAAUGCGUAGAGAUCUGGAGGAAUACCGAUGGCGAAGGCAGCCAUCUGGCCUAAUACUGACGCUGAGGUACGAAAGCAUGGGGAGCAAACAGGAUUAGAUACCCCCGUAGUCCCUGUCUCUUAUAC